UGGCUCGAGGAUGAACGCUAGCGGCAGGCCUAACACAUGCAAGUCGAGGGGCAGCAUAAAAUUAGCUUGCUAAUUUGGUGGCGACCGGCGCACGGGUGCGUAACGCGUAUGCAACCUACCUUAUACGUGGGGGAUAGCCCGGAGAAAUUCGGAUUAAUACCCCAUAGUAUUGUUAAAUCGCAUGGUUUGAUAAUUAAAGGUUACGGUAUAAGAUGGGCAUGCGUCCUAUUAGCUAGAUGGUGAGGUAACGGCUCACCAUGGCGACGAUAGGUAGGGGGCCUGAGAGGGUGGUCCCCCACACUGGUACUGAGACACGGACCAGACUCCUACGGGAGGCAGCAGUGAGGAAUAUUGGUCAAUGGGCGCAAGCCUGAACCAGCCAUGCCGCGUGCAGGAAGAAUGCCCUAUGGGUUGUAAACUGCUUUUAUUUGGGAAUAAACCUCUUUACGCGUAGAGAGCUGAAGGUACCAAAUGAAUAAGCACCGGCUAACUCCGUG
rnacentral:rRNA from 1 species